GUAUUUAUGCUUAGUUAGAUGCACAUUUUUAUAUUUUAGGUUGCUAAGGAUUCACUCACAGUUAAACUUUUCUAGCAUAGGCUUCAUGAGGUCGGAAUGUCAUUUCAAACUUGGACAUGUGCUAUCCCAACAAUGCAUCAUGGGAACGUACGGCACAACAUGGCUGCCCAUGAGACGAAACUCAGCAUCUUGAGAUACGAUGAAGAGCGGAGUUUCUGUUGCUUACACCUCAAAUUAUUUACUCGAGACUGGCAGAUAUGAAUCAAGCCAAUGUUACUCUUGUCUUACGAGUCUGAAGGCUGAUGUGAACGGAAAUUGGAAUAAUGUGGCUAGUUGGCGAUACCCACCCGUUAUUAUUAGCACGUCUUAUGUUGGAGUGAAGAUGAAAGAACAGACGGGCCCAAGUAGUGCACUGAUUUCUGAAUUAAUGCCAGGCACACGUCAUGGAAGUGGAAGUCAGCUCACGUUCACCAUAGAGAACAUAUUCCUGAGAUACGUGAGCCCACAAGGAGACUGGAAAGUAAUGAACUCUUUCGUCAUCAGUGGAUGUGUGAGGCCACAACAUUAAAACCCAGCCUAUAUAACCUGAUAUAGGCUGACAACUAGGCAACUCAUGUUUGUGAAAGAUAUGUUGACAAAUUUCAUAUAUUAUUUGCAAAAAUAAUCAAACCAAAUAUUCUUGUUCAUUUCCGUUUUUAAUGUACUUGCAGCUCUUUUGCUGGGAUAAGAUAUCCCCUACCCCUUAAACACUUGCUUUGCACUUUAGUACGUGGUAGAAAUAACUUGAUCCUCCUGGUAGCCUAGACCAUUUCUACUCAACCUCUUAGAACUUCGCAAUAUAAUGAAACAAGUAAUGGUUACCAGCAGGAGCACAAUAAGCUAUUUUUGCAUUCAUAGAGUUAAUUGAUUCAUCCUGAAGUCUUAGAAAUAUGAGGAUUCAAAAAUGAACAUGGUAUGCAUCCAUCUGGUAUGAACUCAACUGAAGUCUCCCGGAACAACCAAGAUAAUGCUGGGACACACAAUGAAGAACAGCCUAUGUCACUAACCAACAAACUCAAGAUUCAUGGUUCUACGUCUCCAAGUUGUAGUGUGGUCCAUUCUGCUGUGAUUUGUUGGUCUUGUACAAUUAAUAAUUAUUAAUUAGGUUGGCUGUAAGAGCAAGCAGUAGCCAGACGCUCUUGGACCAAAAUGGUACAGGGAUAUGCUGUGUGAAGUAAAUGAAGUACUGGUAUGAAAAUAAAGAAAAAAGCAUUUGAGAUUCAUUGCGAAGCACUGAGAGUCCUG
rnacentral:lncRNA from 1 species